AAUCUCAUGACUUUAAAAACCACUGCAAGACGUGGAGUGAUAUCUACAAAGAUACUAAGCAUGAUGUGGAAACAGUCUGCAAAAGUCUCAUCUCACUCAAUGAUAAAACUGAUUAUAUACAAGGUCAAGUGAAAAAUGAUUUCAUUCUGAGGACAAAGUGAAGAAGCUGCUGUCGGAGAAGCUACAGAUAGACACAAAAUUGAGUUGGCAUGGGCCCACAGGACUGGGAAGCUUUUUCCAUCCUCCGCCAGGCCCAUCAUUGUCAAGUUUCUGCCUUAUAAGGACAAACUGGAAGUCCUCAGCAAAGCCCUGAAAAGCACAAACGUUUUUAUAAAUGAGGACUUUCCUGAAGGUGUUCAACAGAAGCGAAAAGAACUUCUUCCAGCUAUGAGGGCUGCCAUGGAGAAGGGGGAGAUUGCCUACCUGCGGUAGGAUGUGGCAAAAGGAAGGACUGUGUCCAGGGCUUUCCUGAUUAGGGCUUGCAGCCCUCCUCGUUUACCAGCCAUUGACUGAGCCCAUCUGUGCAGAUCCCCACACAGUCCUCCCAUUUCAGAUCAGCCUCUUUCAAUGUUCUGAAAGAAAAUGAGGCUGCAAAAACCUGAGCAGGGACAGAACAG